GUGUCGGUAGCAUAGUUGGAUAAUGCCCCUGAUUGUGAUUCAGGAAUACGCGGGUUCGAAUCCCGUCCGUCACCCCA
rnacentral:tRNA from 5 species